rnacentral:rRNA from 1 species
CCUACGGGAGGCAGCAGUGAGGAAUAUUGGUCAAUGGACGAGAGUCUGAACCAGCCAAGUAGCGUGAAGGAUGACUGCCCUAUGGGUUGUAAACUUCUUUUAUAUGGGAAUAAAAUGUUCCACGUGUGGGAUUUUGUAUGUACCAUAUGAAUAAGGAUCGGCUAACUCCGUGCCAGCAGCCGCGGUAAUACGGAGGAUCCGAGCGUUAUCCGGAUUUAUUGGGUUUAAAGGGAGCGUAGGUGGAUUGUUAAGUCAGUUGUGAAAGUUUGCGGCUCAACCGUAAAAUUGCAGUUGAAACUGGCAGUCUUGAGUACAGUAGAGGUGGGCGGAAUUCGUGGUGUAGCGGUGAAAUGCUUAGAUAUCACGAAGAACUCCGAUUGCGAAGGCAGUUCACUGGACUGAAACUGACACUGAGGCUCGAAAGUGUGGGUAUCAAACAGGAUUAGAUACCCCAGUAGUC